AUAUCAAUAAGCGGAGGAAAAGAAACCAACAGGGAUUGCCCUAGUAACGGCGAGUGAAGCGGCAACAGCUCAAAUUUGAAAUCUGGCCCCUUCGGGGUCCGAGUUGUAAUUUGCAGAGGAAGCUUCGGCGUUGGCCCCGGGUCAAGUCCCCUGGGACGGGGCGCCCUAGAGGGUGAGAGCCCCGUACUCACCCGGGUGUACCUCGCCGUGUGAAGCUCCUUCGACGAGUCGAGUUGUUUGGGAAUGCAGCUCUAAGCGGGAGGUAUAUUUCUUCUAAAGCUAAAUACCGGCCAGAGACCGAUAGCGCACAAGUAGAGUGAUCGAAAGAUGAAAAGCACUUUGGAAAGAGAGUUAAAAAGCACGUGAAAUUGUUGAAAGGGAAGCUCUUGCCGCCAGACUUGCCGCGGUUGCUCAGCCGCCCCCCGGGGCGGUGUACUCUUCCGUCGGCAGGCCAGCGUCGGUUCGGGCGGCCGGAUAAAGGCCUCGGGAAUGUAGCACCCCUCGGGGUGUGUUAUAGCCCGUGGUGUAAUGCGGCCAGCCCGGUCCGAGGCCCGCGUUCGCGAGGACGCUGGCGUAAUGGCCGCAAGCGACCCGUCUUGAAACACGGACCAAGGAGUCUGACAUCUGUGCGAGUGUUUGGGUCUCACACCCAUACGCGUAAUGAAAGUGAACGGAGGUGGGAACCCCCCCCCGAGGGGCGCACCAUCGACCGAUCCUGAUGUGUUCGGAUGGAUUUGAGUAAGAGCAUAGCUGUUGGGACCCGAAAGAUGGUGAACUAUUCCCGGAUAGGGUGAAGCCAGAGGAAACUCUGGUGGAGGCUCGCAGCGGUUCUGACGUGCAAAUCGAUCGUCAAAUCUAGGAAUAGGGGCGAAAGACUAAUCGAACCAU
rnacentral:rRNA from 1 species